rnacentral:rRNA from 1 species
UACGGAGGGGACUAGCGUUGUUCGGGAUUACUGGGCGUAAAGCGCACGUAGGCGGAUUUGUAAGUCAGGGGUGAAAUCCCGGGGACUCAACCUCGGAACUGCCUUUGAUACUGCAAAUCUCGAGUCCGGAAGAGGUGAGUGGAAUUCCUAGGUGUAGAGGUGAAAGUUCGUAGAUAGUUAGGAAAGAACACCAGUGGCGAAGGCGGCUCACGUGUCCGGUACGUGACGGCUGAGGUGGCGAAAGCGUGGGAGCAACAG